rnacentral:rRNA from 1 species
GACGAACGCUGGCGGCGUGCUUAACACAUGCAAGUCGAACGAAGAGCGAUGGAAGCUUGCUUCUAUCAAUCUUAGUGGCGAACGGGUGAGUAACGCGUAAUCAACCUGCCCUUCAGAGGGGGACAACAGUUGGAAACGACUGCUAAUGCCGCAUACGAUCUGACCUCGGCAUCGAGGAUAGAUGAAAGGUGGCCUCUAUUUAUAAGCUAUCACUGAAGGAGGGGAUUGCGUCUGAUUAGCUAGUUGGAGGGGUAACGGCCCACCAAGGCGAUGAUCAGUAGCCGGUCUGAGAGGAUGAACGGCCACAUUGGGACUGAGACACGGCCCAGACUCCUACGGGAGGCAGCAGUGGGGAAUCUUCCGCAAUGGACGAAAGUCUGACGGAGCAACGCCGCGUGAGUGAUGACGGCCUUCGGGUUGUAAAGCUCUGUUAAUCGGGACGAAAGGCCUUCUUGCGAAUAGUUAGAAGGAUUGACGGUACCGGAAUAGAAAGCCACGGCUAACUACGUG